UACGGUGGAGGCAAGCGUUAUCCGGAAUUAUUGGGAGUAAAGCGUCCGUAGGUGGUGAUUCAAGUCAGCGGUUAAAGCGUGGGGCUUAACCUCAUACAGGCCGUUGAAACUGGAUUGCUAAAGUGCGGUAGGGGUCGAGGGAAUUCCCAGUGUAGCGGUGAAAUGCGUAGAUAUUGGGAAGAACACCGGUGGCGAAAGCGCUCGGCUGGGCCUGCACUGACACUGAGGGACGAAAGCUCGGGGAGCAAAAGGG
rnacentral:rRNA from 1 species